rnacentral:rRNA from 1 species
UACGGGGGGGGCAAGCGUUGUUCGGGAUUACUGGGCGUAAAGGGCUCGUAGGCGGCCAACUAAGUCAGACGUGAAAUCCCUCGGCUUAACCGGGGAACUGCGUCUGAUACUGGAUGGCUUGAGAUUGGGAGAGGGAUGCGGAAUUCCAGGUGUAGCGGUGAAAUGCGUAGAUAUCUGGAGGAACACCGGUGGCGAAGGCGGCGUCCUGGACCAGCACUGACACUGAUGAGCGAAAGCCAGGGGAGCAAACGGG